UCGUGUCGAUAGUUGAGCGUCCCUCUC
rnacentral:sRNA from 1 species